GUGGGCGCGGCAGGCGGGCUGUGCGGGCAGGAAGAGCGACGAGCUUGAGAGUGGGAGAUGGGGUGCAACGGCGGGCCUCUCCGGGGAGGUGACACUGCCGCUGAGACCCGAAUGGAAGGGCGCGCCCGGCGGGGGAACAGCAGGCGCCGAGGUGGACCCAGGGGCAGCUGCGGCUAGUCCAUUUGGAGCUCCUUCAAGCCGAAGCAUCCAACACCAGUGUCUGUGAGGUGUGGGCCCGGCCCCAGGAGCGGGGCCUGGGCAGCCCCGUGUGUUGAGGAAGGAAGGCAGGGCCCCCGCUCCCCGGGCCUGACCCCACUGCUUCAGCCCCCUCCUGCCUGCCUACAGCCUGGCCUCGAGGGCCCAUCAGAUGGAGUCUCACUGUAGUCCAGAUGGAGUGCAAUGGCGUGAUCUCGGCUCACUGCAAGCUCCGCCUCCCCGGUUCACGCCAUUCUCUUGCCUCAGCCUCCUGAGUAGCUGGGACUACAGGUGCCCGCCACCACACCCGGCUAAUUUUUUUGUAUUUUUAGUAGAGACGGGGUUUCACCGUGUUAGCCAGGAUGGUCUUGAUUUUUCGACUUCAUGAUCCGCCUGCCUCGGCCUCCCAAAGUGCUGGGAUUACAGGCGUGAGCCACCAUGCCCGGCCAAGCACUUCCUUGAACACAGAGGUGACCAUGAGGAGGGAGGCGUGAACCAGGAUGACGGGGCAGCAGAUGGAGCCUGCCUCCCUGAGACCUCAGGUGACCGAGUGCUGGACUGCCUCCUCCUGCCUACAUGGCUGAGAAAUAAACUUCUUUUUCAAACCACUGUGACCUGGGGUUUUCUGAUACCCUCAGCAAGCCUGUUCCUGUGGCCUGGUGUGGGUCCCCUGACCUGUG
rnacentral:lncRNA from 10 species